GUUCUGUGUGAUGUAAGUAAUCAUACAAUAAAUCAUCCUGUAACAGAAAGAAAAGAUGCAUAAACCUGAUACAUUUUCCUAUCAUCUACACUCCAGAAGACAAAAAUCCUUAAGGAGCACUGUGGUUUGGAUAUCACUUAAUUUUGUGUUAGAAAAGUAAACUUAAUGAAGCAAUAAAUUACAUGACAAAAUCCAAAGAUUAGAUAAGGUGAGGAUAUUAGAAAUAAAAGUAGGAUUUUAUAUACAAACAUGCUUUGACUAAUGCGUAUAUAGUUGCUUUCUCUACAGAAUAGACUUUCUGGUACACAGAUGUUUUCUGAAUAAUAUUGAUUACAUGAGGAUCUUCAGGAAAAUCUGCCCGGUGUCGGGCUGUGGGUGGUUGUACUGAGAUGACUUCUAGGGUCAUGGGAACAGGUGGGACAGGACAGUAGUGGGGUUGGUGAAUUGCUGCAGCCUGCCUGAACCCAGACUACACAGUGGGGCAGGCCUGGAGGAUGGGAAGCCUAGGCUGCCCGAGGUCCACUUUCCCUCACUCUCUGGACAGGAUUCUUAGGUGGUCAUGCACUUUAAACAGGGUGAACAAAGUAGUUCCAUGGCUCACAGUCUCAGCAGGACAUUAAAGACACUUUAGGAAGAGCACUAAUUAGGGUAGCUCCCUGUGCCUGGGUGUUUACUCUCACUCCCCCUCUUCCCAGCUCUGAGCCUUGGGCAAGGGAUUAGCCUUCCCACAGCUCAGGAGUACCAUCUGCUGUUGUCACCUCUCUAGGAUGAUAUAUGGAUUAAAGGGCGUCACCAUAGUGAGGGGCUCAGCAUGGAACAAAUGGAACUUGAACUUGUUCUAGGGUGAGGAAGCCAUCCUUACUGCAGAGGAAGACAACUCACCAUCAUCACAUACUAAUUUGAUUUGGAGAAGGGCAAUUCAAUCUUAAAAUUCCAGCAUGUUGGAAAAACUAGCUUGUCAGUGAUAGAGUGGCCAGGUGAUGGCCAGCAUCCCAGCAAGAUGGGCAUGUAAUAUGUCACCUCCUUGCUCUUGCCAGGACACUGUGAAAUCUCACUCUAGGUCACCAUUUUCAAUAUGUACUUUUGCUAUGCUCAUAGCUGUCUCCAUAACAGUUUUAACUUUUAUUGUUUUGCUUUUAAUUCUAAAUACUUCUUUUGCAUUUUUUUAUGUUGUUGUCCUGGCAAAAACGGUCCUGUAUAAUGGCUGGGAAUACAUGGUCUCAGAUCCCUACUUUGAGGAGAGUUGUCAUGAGAAGGUGGCAUGGCUACAGGAAGCCCUGGCCUUAGCAGCCUUCCUGAUGACACUCCAAAACCAAGCAACAAUGGGGGUGAGGUACAGCAUGAGGCUGAAGCAUCACUCUCUUGCCUGACCUCAAAUUUGACCACAAGUCACAACAAGGAAGUAGAUACUCUGUCCCCUGGAGGGACCAAUGGGGCCUCAUCUGGGGCACACUCAGGUAAUUAUUAAAGUCUGGAAUUUUCAGACACUUGAUGAUCUCACAGAAUAAUUUCACAGUGGUAUCUGACUAAUACAAAAGACUUGGGCUAGUGACUAUUAAAUGUCUGGUGCCCAGGAGGCUAUUCAAAAACACAUACCAAAGUAGGAAUUUGUUACCUGCAAUAUGGUCAAUUGUGACUUUCUUCAAGUACUGCUUCACUGGAAUUAGUUCUAGCAUUUAAAGAUUCCAGGUGUCACAUGACUAGUUCAUAGUACUUUUUAAAGGCACAAUUAUAAAUAAUUUAAGAAUUUGGUCCAUUAUUGAAAAAUCAAGUCUGGCAAACAAAUUAAUUAUGCUUAUUAUUCAAAUAUGCAGUGUGUUUUCUAAAAUGCAGUGUGUUCAUGUGUUGAGCUUUUGCUUUGUUGCCUGUGCCCUGGCCACAUGCUGAAGUAGAAGCUUCUGCUUGACUUAGGACAGAGGUAUCAUGCAGCACAGAAGGCUGAGCAAAGCAUCGGCCACCUUCUGGAAAUGAUCAUGUGACCAGGAAAUGACAAAAAGAGUCACCUGUCCAUGGAUCACAAUGGUGGCAGGAAGAUCACCAUCCCUGCAAUAUAAAUGAGAACAGAAGCACAGAAAGGCCAAUUACCCAGUUCAACUUCCCAGACUGCAGGUAGCUGCAGGCUCAGCACUCCAGAAAUUUGAGUUGGUCUCUAGCUCACAUGUCAGUGAUGGAAGUCAGUGUUCAGACAAAGACCUCCCAGAGACUGCAGUGCUGCCCAACCCAUCACUGGGAGGAUGAAAAAUAACACACAAUCGAUUAAACAAGCUGGGGAGUUGGGGCUGAACAAAAUCGAGUGGGCUUCUUCAAGUAGCUUCCACAGACAGGCAUGCUAAUGUGCACAGAGGUCUCCACGAAGUAGUUAUGGUGCACAGCAGUUACCUAAUGUUUGCAGAGCACUCCUAGGGCCACUUGGGAAAGUGAGCCUGAGGGCACAGCUUGCUUGACAGCCAUCGCAGCAGGAGUCCCCAGAGCCAGAAGAGCAGCCUAGCAGGACCUGCAAGGCCACUAGGGACCACUGCUUGGACUUUGGAAUCUGUGCAGCAUAUUGAAUCCAGCUGGCCACUGGAACUGGGGUCCGCAUUGUCACUGCCUGGAAGCAAUGGAAAUAGUUUCAGCAGGAGGAAGAGGCUCACAGGUAUGGCUGUCUCCUGACUCAUCAUUGUCCACACCCUCCAUCCUCUUCGCCAGUGACUUUCAGAAUGUCCCCACAACCUUGGCUCCUUGCUGUAGGUGCAGUCAUUGCCAUAAAAGCCCAGCUGGAUGCUCAAGGCAGGGAGUCCAGUGCUGUAUGAAGCAUCCUUUGGAAGCUUCCUGUGAAUUUCCCAGGACAGCAGUCAGGCACAGGAGCAGGGAGGUAGAGGCUGUCACCCCAGACUCCAGGGCUCACUGACUCUUGUUCUCACAGGAAAGCAGCAGGUGUGCAACCCUGGUCUUAAAUUUGGUUUCCUUUCCACUGGAUCUUGAUCCAGGAACUAUUUUAGUUGCAGCAGAAAGCAAAACGGUGCUGGGAAAAGAGAUAUUGUUCCAGCAGAUUUCACUCCAAACUGGGGGCUGAGAGAAAAAUGCUCCCUCAAAUGACAUGGGAAAGGAACUUCUGAGUGACAUUUAGAAGGAAAGUCAGCAAAUUUCACUCUCAAUAUCCCAAUUUCCAUAUUCCUCAUCCAUUCAUGUGAAUAAAAAGGGCCCCCUUUCUGCUGGGAGACUCAUGUCUCUGUGGCUAAGCUAGACAUAUCAGUGACACGGGGAGUCCAUCCUUAUGGACCACCUCCUUUCCUAGCCCCCUCAGGGCUGUACUUCCCAGGAUGCAGCUGCUGUGCUGGGGGCACCAGCUUCUCCUCCUCCCGCCUCCUUUGCUGGCUGGAGCUGCAGGAGCAUGGCCUGCAGCGUCUCCUUCACCAUCUGGAGCUGCCCCUUGAGAGACUGUGGGUGCCGUUAAGGAAGAGUGGGAGGGGACCCUGUCUCCACAGCCUCCCAGGGAGCCAGGAGAGCAA
rnacentral:lncRNA from 1 species